rnacentral:rRNA from 1 species
UAGGGAAUCUUCGGCAAUGGACGAAAGUCUGACCGAGCAACGCCGCGUGAGUGAGGAAGGUUUUCGGAUCGUAAAACUCUGUUGGUAGAGAAGAACGUUGGUGAGAGUGGAAAGCUCAUCAAGUGACGGUAACUACCCAGAAAGGGACGGCUAACUACGUGCCAC